rnacentral:rRNA from 1 species
GCAGACGGGUGAGUAACACGUGAACACCUACCCUCGAGUGGGGAAUAACACCGCGAAAGCGGUGCUAAUACCGCAUAACAUCCCUGGGUCGCAUGAACUGGGGAUCAAGGGCGAAAGUCGCUUGAGGAGGGGUUCGCGGCUGAUUAGCUAGUUGGUGAGGUAACGGCCCACCAAGGCAACGAUCAGUAGCCGGCCUGAGAGGGCGAACGGCCACACUGGAACUGAGACACGGUCCAGACUCCUACGGGAGGCAGCAGUGGGGAAUUUUGCGCAAUGGGCGAAAGCCUGACGCAGCAACGCCGCGUGGAGGAUGAAGGUCUUCGGAUCGUAAACUCCUGUCAGGGGGGACGAAAACCCGCAAGGGUCUGACUGUACCCCCUGAGGAAGCCACGGCCAACUCCGUGCCAGCAGCCGCGGUAAUACGGAGGUGGCAAGCGUUGUUCGGAAUUACCGGGCGUAAAGGGCGCGUAGGCGGCUUGGCAAGUCAGAUGUGAAAUCCCCGGGCUUAACUUGGGAAUUGCAUCUGAAACUGCUUUGCUUGAGUCCCGGAUGGGGUAGUGGAAUUCCCAGUGUAGCGGUGAAAUGCGUAGAUAUUGGGAGGAACACCGGUGGCGAAGGCGGCUACCUGGACAGUGACUGACGCUGAUGCGCGAAAGCUAGGGGAGCGAACGGGAUUAGAUACCCCGGUAGUCCUAGCCGUAAACGAUGGGCACUUGGUGUUGGGGGUAUUGAGUCCCCCGGUGCCGGAGUUAACACGUUAAGUGCCCC